CACGUAGGGUGCGAGCGUUGUCCGGAAUUAUUGGGCGUAAAGAGCUCGUAGGCGGUGUGUCGCGUCGGCCGUGAAAACCUGCAGCUUAACUGUGGGCUUGCGGUCGAUACGGGCAUCACUGGAGUUCGGCAGGGGAGACUGGAAUUCCUGGUGUAGCGGUGAAAUGCGCAGAUAUCAGGAGGAACACCGGUGGCGAAGGCGGGGUCUCUGGGCCG
rnacentral:rRNA from 1 species